GCAAAGGAGAUUUCACUAUAAUGGAGAGAGAGUACAAUGUGGAGAGACGUAAUUUCUGAAUAACAAAAAUUGACCCACUAAUUGCACUUAUAUAAUACGUGCGUACAAAUAAGCCCUAGGCCUAAAAACAUAAAGGUCAAGGGGGGAUGCACAGCUUUACGUGCGGGUUCGCGAAAACCCAUAAUUCUCGUACGGCUCUUGAAUUUAUAUUGAAAAAACUAGUAAAUAUAUAAGAAUUAUAAGUUGGGAACCCACAAACAAAGUGUGUUAUUGGUCUAGUUGUAAAAAAGAAGCUUACUAAAGCAUUGAUAGGAACCCACAACCUUUAAAUUAUAGAUCCGCCUCUGUAAAGGUCCAUCACAAACAUGGGUCACAUGCGAAACUUUCUGGGCCAGAUCAACAAAAUUGGGGUCAAAACUCUAUCAAAAAGGAUUUUUAUUUGGCGACAUGGUGGAUCUAAUGAAGUGGAUAUACAUGAUAUGAUGGAUGGGCUCGUCAAAGUUGCGUUCUUGUUGAAACAUGAUUGAGAAAUGAGAGGCAUAUGAAAGGUUCUUUUU
rnacentral:lncRNA from 1 species